rnacentral:rRNA from 1 species
AGAGUUUGAUCCUGGCUCAGGAUGAAACGCUAGCUACAGGCUUAACACAUGCAAGUCGAGGGGUAGCAGGUAGCAAUACCGCUGACGACCGGCGCACGGGUGAGUAACACGUAUCCAACCUUCCCAUAACUCAGGGAUAGCCUUUCGAAAGAAAGAUUAAUACCUGAUAGUACUUUUUCAAGGCAUCUUGAGAAAGUUAAAGAUUUAUUGGUUAUGGAUGGGGAUGCGUUCCAUUAGAUAGUUGGUGAGGUAACGGCUCACCAAGUCUUCGAUGGAUAGGGGUUCUGAGAGGAAGGUCCCCCACAUUGGUACUGAGACACGGACCAAACUCCUACGGGAGGCAGCAGUGAGGAAUAUUGGUCAAUGGGCGAGAGCCUGAACCAGCCAAGUAGCGUGAAGGAAUGAAGGUCCUAUGGAUUGUAAACUUCUUUUAUAGUAGAAUAAAGUGAUCCACGUGUGGAUUUUUGUAUGUAUACUAUGAAUAAGGAUCGGCUAACUCCGUGCCAGCCGCGGC